CCGUGCUAGGUGGGGAGGUAGCGGUUCCCUAUACUCGAAAUCCGCUUUAUGCGAGACUUAAUUCCUUUGUUGAGGGCACAAUUUUGUGAAGUCUGCCCGAAGCACGUAGUGUUUGAAGAUUUCGGUCCUAUGCAAUAUGAACCCAUGAAUCAUGUCAGGUCCUGACGGAAGCAGCAUUAA
rnacentral:SRP_RNA from 1 species